UACGAAGGGGGCUAGCGUUGCUCGGAAUGACUGGGCGUAAAGGGCGCGUAGGCGGAUGGCACAGUCAGAUGUGAAAUUCCCGGGCUUAACCUGGGGGCUGCAUUUGAUACGUGUUGUCUUGAGUUCGGAAGAGGGUCGUGGAAUUCCCAGUGGUAGAGGUGAAAUUCGUAGAUAUUGGGAAGAACACCGGUGGCGAAGGCGGCGACCUGGUCCGACACUGACGCUGAGGUGCGAAAGCGUGGGGAGCAAACAGG
rnacentral:rRNA from 1 species